rnacentral:rRNA from 1 species
UACGUAGGUGGCAAGCGUUGUCCGGAUUUACUGGGCGUAAAGAGCGCGCAGGCGGCUGGGCAAGUCCGAUGUGAAAGCUUCCGGCUUAACUGGAAAAUUGCAUCGGAAACUGCUCGGCUUGAAGGUGGGAGAGGGUAGCGGAAUUCCCGGUGUAGUGGUGAAAUGCGUAGAUAUCGGGAGGAACACCAGUGGCGAAGGCGGCUUUCUGGUCUGCUCUUGACGCUGAGGCGCGAAAGCUAGGGGAGCAAACGGG